rnacentral:snRNA from 1 species
GGAUGUGAGGGCGAUCUGGCUGCAACAUCUGUCACCCCAUUGAUUUCCAGAGUUGACUCGGCUGAUCUGGCUGGCUAGGCGGGUGUCCCCUUCCUCCCUCACUGCUCCAUGGGCGUCCCUCCCGAAGCUGCGCACUCGGUCGAAGAGGACGACCUUCCCCGAAUAGAGGAGGACCGGUCUUGGGUCAAGGGUAUAUGAGUAGCUGCGCUCCCCUGCUAGAACCUUCAAACAAGCUCUCAAGAAAUACUUCACUUAUUUAUUGGAGAGAGAGAAGCAGAUAGAGAGAUAAUGGCACAUAAGGGCCUCAGCCACUGAAAAUGAACUCCAGAUGUAUGCGUCACCUU